rnacentral:rRNA from 1 species
CCAAUAGCGUAUAUUAAAGUUGUUGCAGUUAAAAAGCUCGUAGUUGAAUUUCGGAGUUCUACCGUUGGUCAGGCUUUGUCUGUACUGACGUGUAGAAUUUCUACCUUCUGGGGAACCAUCAUGUUAUUAAUUUAGUGUGAUGGGAAACCAGGACCUUUACCUUGAAAAAAUUAGAGUGUUCAAAGCAGGCUUAUGUCUGAAUACAUUAGCAUGGAAUAAUAGAAUAGGACGGUGGUCCUGUUUUGUUGGUUUCUGAAUCACCGUAAUGAUUAAUAGGGAUAGUUGGGGGCAUUAGUAUUCAAUUGUCAGAGGUGAAAUUCUUGGAUUUAUUGAAGACUAACUUCUGCGAAAGCAUUUGCCAAGGAUGUUUUCAUUAAUCAAGAACGAAAGUUAGGGGAUCGAAGACGAUCAGAUACCGUCGUAGUCUUAACCAUAAACUAUGCCGACUAGGGAUCGGACGAUGUUAACUUUUCUUGACUCGUUCGGCGCCUUACG